UGUWUAAUUUUAUUAUUAAAUAAAACCUGCUCAAUGAAAAUUAAAUAGCCGCAGAAUUUUAACUGUGCUAAGGUAGCAUAAUCAUUAGAUUUUUAAUUAAAAUCUAGAAUGAAAGGUUUAACUUUUAUUUACUUUAUUAAAUUCACUUAAUUUAAAUUAUAUUAAAAAUAAAAAUAUUUUUAUAAUUUAAAAGACGACAAGACCCUAUUGAACUUAACUUUAGUUAAGCUGGGGCAGCUAAUUAAAAAUAAUUUUAAUUUAAUUAUUUAUAUAAAUACCUAAUAUUAUUAAAUAAAUAAGUUACCAUAGGGAUAACAGCGUAAUUUUUUAUAAAAGUUCUUAUUAAAUAUAAAGAUUGCGACCUCGAUGUUGAAUUAUUUACCUGAUAGAAGCAAAAUUUUAAAAAGGGAGUCUGUUCGACUUUUGAAUAUUUACA
rnacentral:rRNA from 1 species